GUAACUGACUUAACAGCUUUAGACAGACAUAUUGAUUAAUAAUUAUGUCGCUGGCAAGGGAAGAAAAGCUUAAAUGCUUCCGGGUCUCCUAUUUUUAUCUCCAUCCUAAUACUGGGAACUGAAGAGACCAAUUUACACCUGACUCAGAGCCAAGGACAGCGCUGGGUGCAGACAAAGGAAUAAUGCCAAACGAUGCUGCUGCUUCUUCACAGGAAAAGUGAACAGACACAGAACCAGCACCCACUGUGAACUUUCUAUGCCUCCUUUCAUUAAGCCUCUUAAAUGACAAUUGAUCGUCAUAGUGAAGGAAAAGAAAGGUCCUGUGGAAAUGAUUGCCACCGAAACAUGACCAUAAGGAAAAUUUUGAAUUUAGGAAGGGCAGGCCAUCUUGACCCAGUAAAGCCCUUUAUGCAUUUACUUGAAAGAAGAUCACUUCCAUCUCAUCACACAAUCAGGCAAAAUAUUGGGCUGUCAUUGACUGACUGGCAUUCAGAAGCAUGGUUAAUGAUGCAAAGCUGUCAUUGA
rnacentral:lncRNA from 1 species